AACGUAGAAGGCCACGACGACUUGUAUUCCCCAGGGAAUGGCCCUGAACUCUGCGUCCACAGCAUGGACACUUGUGGGCCUCCCCCAUGGGCUGCCAAGGGGUGAAAAGAAAAGUUAGGUGUCAACAGGACAGCAGUGUGCCUCUCCUGUAAGGGGGCUCUUCCCAGGUCUGAGCAUGUCACUGAUGUAUUGUAGCAGUCCUGGGGGAAUUGAUGCUUUUGUGCUCCUUGAGGGAUCCAGGGGAGGAAGUUAUGGUGGGAUUGAAUUUGAAUUCUUAACUCUUCAAUGACCCUGUAUUUUGCAGAAUUUCUAUUUUAGUUUUCUAGGUGAUAAACCAUGCUCAUCGGUGAAUUCCUGUACUUGCCCUGUUACUUCCUCAAGAAAACCCUCUGACAAAACUGCUGGAUCAAAAGGAUAAGCAGGUUUGAACAGACAUGCUGUGCCUUGCCCACCACAAGGCUGACUAUGGAGUUGUGACAGUCUGUGCAGGGAAUGUUCGUGCAGUGUGUUAUAUAAUGCUGCCAAAAGAUAAACUUGUGGAAAAGCUCAAUUUGCCACGAAGACACAUUUGCUUGCAGAAGGCCAGGAUUGGUCACUGUGAGUGCUCUAAGCUGUUACGUCCAGAUGUACUUGGGGCUAGAAGUGUUGACGUGUUAGGACUUUUGGUUCUGUUUUCACAUUACAAAAUGUUUCAUUUAGCAACAAUUCUCAUCAAAUUAGCUUUUUAAUUCAACUUUGGGGCUAAUGAGUGUUCUCUUGAUGGUUCCUGUAAAUCUGGUGCAGUCUUUAAAUGGUGUCUAGGUUCCUGUUGCUCUUGUGUUUCUACCCUGGCUGGGACCAGGGUAGCACCAUGUUCAGGGAUGUCCUGGUGCCCUGUGUACCACCAAGGUUGACUUGCAAUGCUUUUUGCUCCCAGUUUUAGAGGCCCUAGGCCACAGCUUACCAUUUUGACUUUCUUCACUCAUCCAUACAGAACAGAUGCUUUGGGGCUCAGAAAAUGAUACCUUAAUGUUUGGCACCUUGGCUUGCUAAGCAGUGUUGAAAUAAAAAACUUUGGGAAAACCUUAGACACCACCUAAGAGCUAAGAACUUUCUAACCUAUUCUUUUUUUCUCCUCAGUGCAGGGAAAGAUUGUAUUUCCUCUGUCUGUGAAAGGACAAAGGAGAAAAUGAUUGCCUUUGGUUGCCUUCUUGAGAGUUGGUUAACUGACUUCAUAUUGCAGGAAGGAAGACGGAUUUCAGCCCACCUGUUCAGACUUUGUUAUGAGGUAUUUCUGUCUCCCAGCCUUACCCAGCUUCUAAAGCAUAAAUAUAUAAAUGGCAGUAUCUGUGGGGGGCCCAUUUAUCUUCCCCUAAAAAUCAUUUAUUAUACUUCAAAAGCAUUUCACUCUACUCUGAACAAGGGCAUUUAAGCAUCUGAGUCUCCCUGAGUUAUUUGGUACUCACCUUCCCCUGAUAGCUUCUGCCCCCAAACAAUUAUCUGUGCCUUUUUUCCUGCUAUGUAUGUUGUCACUUCAGUUCAGGAAUCCUACAGUCCCCUCUCCUUCCACUACUGAACACAACUCUUCCCAGGCAUCUUUUUGUGAAUGCAUGUACUUUGCUCUACACUCCUGCCGCCCCCAAUACCAGCCCUUGCAAACUGAACUACUUGUAAGUAUAAAAACAGGCUUAUGGGUGCAAGUUCGAUACCAGACUGGUUUGAAAGCAUGCUCCAGACUUAACUGGGUUAGGGUAGUGAAGAAAAUUCAUUGCUGUUCCUUUUGUAAUAUAUUUGAGCACUUGCUGUCCUAAGGAUACAGUCCUCCAAAUUUGAGUUCUAGUGGGGAGAGAUCUGAGACAUUGUGUAGUGUGCCUUGUGGUCAGUUUCUGGGGGAAAAUGAAGAGGGAGUAUGGUUGUGAGGACAGCCUCUUGGAUGUUACUCUGUCAAAGGAUGGAGUGAAUUUAUGCUAAGACACAGGGGAUGAAAAAAAGAAGCAACGUGAUGGCUGGAGGAGUGACUCAAGUGUUAGAGCACAUGGCUAGCAAGCACAAAGCCCAGAGAUCAAACCCCAGUACCACCAAAAAUUAAAAAAUGAGCAACACGAAUCUUUGUUAAGGUCACAGUAAGUGGAAUUGGUACCUGAUUGUAGUCAUGUAACUAUUUUAAGGAAACUUGCCCCCAGUAAUCUGGUACAUGCUUGCUGUCUCCAGUCACUCCUCACCAUUGCUCCCUGAUGAAAUCACAAGUGACCACUGGGGAAAGAGUGCCCGCCCUCUUCUUUCCUGUAUUGCUUCCUAUUGUCCUCAGGCUUGUGCUGUCUGGAGGAUGAGGUGGAGACUGGAAGGAUGAGAGAGCUGAUGGUGCUCUGGAGUAAGAUCCGAUGGAGGACUUCCCUGCCACAGUGGGGUGCUUUGAAAGUAAGGAGACACAUUCAACAUGGUUUUCAUGGGGUAGACUUGGAGUGGGAGUCCAAACAUAAUAUGACAUCGGAGUGACUCCUUGAGGUGCUCAGGUAGGUUGCUAUUGGGUGUUGAACCUGAGGUGGGUGUUGCAGCAUGUGUGAUUUGCCUGGGCAUUGGUCUUUGUCAGUACUGUGUGAUGUCUUUCACAGCUGAAGAUUCUGUGUAAGGUUAUCCACCUCCACCUAUUCUAGACUGUCCACACACUUAGUGAGACUUCAUUAAGGUCAAACUAAUGGAAACGAAUAACACAUGUUGAAUACUUUGUGUUCAAAUGGAACUCCAUUUUAAAGUGGGUCUUUUUUGUUCUGAUUUAAGUUCCUCCCAUCCUUCUAGAAGUUCUAAUCCUCCUAGGCUCACUGAGGGGAUCACAUCACCUGAAUCUCUACUUCAGUGGAGUAGGUUUGUUUCCACAAGAAAAGUGCCAAGAAGGUAAGAGAUGUGGGAUAGUGAUCCACUGGUGGUGGUGACCAGGACAAAGCAGCCUGGCCUUAGAGUAGGUCCCGGUACAGCCCAUGCCAUCUGUUUUCUGCAGCUCUGUUCCUCAGGAUGUGUCUGAAAACCAGGGGACCAAGAGCAUCAAUGUCAGCCGGAACUUGAUAUCCUACAAAAAUCUCAGCCCCACUCUAGACUGUAGCAACAGAACCUGCGAUCAGCCAUAUUCCCAGGUGGCUAAACAGCAUUUGAGAAACAAGAACACACUAGAAGGCAACAGGUGACUAGCUUCAAGAUGACCAGACUGAUCCGUUUCUGAACAGCAGGACAGGUGGUGACUGCCGGGAUAAGUUUUCCUUAUGUUGCCCCAGCUGGCCUUGGACCUCUGGACUGAGGUCGUUCUCCCAUCUGAAACUCAAGGGGGUGUUUGACCACAGUUUUGUACCACCACACCUGGCUUCUGCAAUACUUAAUCAUCCAAGCAUCCUUGGAAUCUUAUUUCAAUUUGUUUCCAUCUGAGUUUCAAUUUGUUUUUCAAUUUCUGAGCAGAGGUAAGUAGAAAAUACAAGGGAAAGCCAGUUUAUUGAUUUAUUUUCCUGAAGGCAACAGUUGGUGAAGAAAGUGAUGAGAUCUGUAAU